AUUGAACGCUGGCGGCAGGCCUAACACAUGCAAGUCGAACGGUAACAGGAAGCAGCUUGCUGCUUUGCUGACGAGUGGCGGACGGGUGAGUAAUGUCUGGGAAACUGCCCGAUGGGGGGGGAUAACUACUGGAAACGGUAGCUAAUACCGCAUAACGUCGCAAGACCAAAGAGGGGGACCUUAGGGCCUCUUGCCAUCGGAUGUGCCCAGAUGGGAUUAGCUAGUAGGUGGGGUAACGGCUCACCUAGGCGACGAUCCCUAGCUGGUCUGAGAGGAUGACCAGCCACACGGGAACUGAGACACGGUCCAGACUCCUACGGGAGGCAGCAGUGGGGAAUAUUGGACAAUGGGCGCAAGCCUGAUGCAGCCAUGCCGCGUGUAUGAAGAAGGCCUUCGGGUUGUAAAGUACUUUCAGCGGGGAGGAAGGGAGUAAAGUUAAUACCUUGGCUCAUUGACGUUACCGGAAGAAGAAGCACCGGCUAACUCCGUG
rnacentral:rRNA from 1 species